GAGAAGACCCUGUCUCAAAAAAAAAAAAGAAAAAAAAACCAGAUCAGUUAGUUUGGUUUUUUGUUGUUUUUUUUUUUGUUUUUUGUUU
rnacentral:miRNA from 1 species